UACGGAGGGUGCGAGCGUUGUCCGGAAUCAUUGGGCGUAAAGCGCGCGCAGGUGGUUUCUUAAGUCUGAUGUGAAAGCCCACGGCUCAACCGUGGAGGGUCAUUGGAAACUGGGGAACUUGAGUGCAGAAGAGGAUAGUGGAAUUCCAAGUGUAGCGGUGAAAUGCGUAGAGAUUUGGAGGAACACCAGUGGCGAAGGCGACUAUCUGGUCUGUAACUGACACUGAGGCGCGAAAGCGUGGGGAGCAAACAGGG
rnacentral:rRNA from 1 species